CACCAGGUCUGCUGACUCUCAGUCCAGGGCUCUUUAUACAUCAUCUGCCCGUGAGGGGCUUGCGGGGAGGAAUGAGU
rnacentral:miRNA from 1 species